UAGGGAAUCUUCGGCAAUGGGGGCAACCCUGACCGAGCAACGCCGCGUGAGUGAAGAAGGUUUUCGGAUCGUAAAGCUCUGUUGUAAGUCAAGAACGGGUGUGAGAGUGGAAAGUUCACACUGUGACGGUAGCUUACCAGAAAGGGACGGCUAACUACGUGCCAGCAGCCGCGGUAAUACGUAGGUCCCGAGCGUUGUCCGGAUUUAUUGGGCGUAAAGCGAGCGCAGGCGGUUUGAUAAGUCUGAAGUUA
rnacentral:rRNA from 1 species